UACGGGGGGGGCAAGCGUUGUUCGGAAUUACUGGGCGUAAAGGGCGCGUAGGCGGCCGUUUGCGUCGGAUGUGAAAGCCCGGGGCUCAACCUCGGAACGGCAUUCGAUACGGGACGGCUGGAGACCGGGAGAGGAGAGUGGAAUAGCCAGUGUAGAGGUGAAAUUCGUAGAUAUUGGCUGGAACACCGGUGGCGAAAGCGGCUCUCUGGCCCGGUUCUGACGCUGAGGCGCGAAAGCGUGGGUAGCAAACAGG
rnacentral:rRNA from 1 species